GAGGCCGGCCACUUAGAGAGGAUUUAGCUAGCAAUCUUUUCUUCUCUAAGUCAUCCAUUUCAUCUUCACAUCUCAUCCUUGGUGUGGAGACUUAGAGACACCAAACCUUUGGUGUUUUUGGAGAUCCUUUCCUUACAUCCUCAAGGAGCAAAGGAGCACAAAAGGGAAGGAAAUCACAAGGAAGAUCCAAGGAACUAGGAGGUGACUUGAAGGCCCUCCA
rnacentral:lncRNA from 1 species